rnacentral:lncRNA from 1 species
UUUCUUUUUCUUUUUAAACAAAUAGAACACUAUUGCCUGCCAUCUUAUGCCCUUAUGGAUCAUAAAGUCUUACUGCAUAGGACCUUGAGUAUAUCCUGUCUACGCUGAACUAGAGAUAGCUGCUGGAUAAUCAUAUUUGCAGAGAUUUCUUCAUACUUGAUGCCAGACAUUCAAGCCAAAAAGGUAGUCCUUGGCUGGGAGUAUUUAUUUGAUCCCCUACGUAGAGCCAGCUUAGGUAUCUCUCCCAUCCAUCA